GAGUGGCCGCGACACGCGCUAGUGGCCGGUUCCUCAAGGCUGGGCUCACUCUAAGGAUUUUCUCUGCUCACGUGGCUGUGCAUCUCCCUAGGGAGCUCUGCCUUAAGGGGAUUGGAGUUUGCAAAUGGAAGGAUUUAAACCCCAAUGCUGGAUCCUGGUUCUCCAAAUGAACUGGCUGAUAGCGCGAGAGACGUGACAGGUCCUCUUUGGCGCCCCCUGUGUCCUCCAUCUCUGUUUGCUGUCCCUUUCUGCUCCCGGUCUCCACCCCUACAGACCCCACUGAACAGUUUCAUCUCAAGGAAUGAAUCAGAUUCAUCUCAAGGAACCUCCAGCCCGAAGUGAGUACAGGUGCAAACCCUGGAACGGAACGCAGAUGCAAGUAGUGUAUUUGCAGCGGAUCCCAGGAGACACUGCAGGGGAGGGGAAAGGGGGCCAGGAAAGGGAGCAUUAUAGAGACUCUCCUGCAGAAGGUAAGUGGCACCCAGGCCCCCUGGGGGACCCAGGGAGCCCCUCAGAGUCACCCCAACUGUGGGGCCAGAGGGUUGAGGAAACCGGGCACGUAUCCAUCACAUCUCUGCCUGCCCGCCACUGGCUGAGGGCCGCUCCUCUCUGGCUUUUGUUGCUGGAUAUCAUCCCCAGGAGAUUCUUCUCCACCAGCGCACAGGGCUGGGCAUUUAGGCAGUGUCCAUGGCCCUAGAUGUAGUGGGAAUAGACAGGAGUGUCAAGAAGGUGCACACCACGGUCUUCUAACCUUGACUUUGCCUCGGCCUCUGUUUCCUUAAUGGGGCGCCCCCUGCAGCGUCAACCCCCGAUCUGGCCUGCUGACCCUCCUCCUUCAUGUCCCUUGCUGUCCCUUCUCAUCCGCGACAUCUGAUGCUGACGCAGCCGUUCCCACUUCUCCUUUCCUGUCUCAACCUCAACAUCCCGAAAUCUUAUGUUCUGUUUGACCGGGACGCGGUAAGGCCAGGCUCCUUGCCUUCGUGGAGCCUGCGCGUCAUUGAGGGGUGGGGCUCGGGCGUGAGCAAAAGCUGCGGAGCGUCUUAAGGGCUGGCCUCAGAAGUCACCUCGUGUCACCUCUGCGAG